CAAGGAAUUUUGUGCAAUGGGCGAAAGCCUGACACAGCAACGCCGCGUGAGGGAUGACGGCCUUCGGGUUGUAAACCUCUUUUCUCAGGGAAGAAUAAUGACGGUACCUGAGGAAUAAGCUUCGGCUAACUACGUGCCAGCAGCCGCGGUAAUACGUAGGAAGCGAGCGUUAUCCGAAUUUACUGGGCGUAAAGUGUGCGUAGGCGGCCUUUCAAGUUGGAUGUAAAAUCUCCUGGCUUAACUGGGAGGCGUCAUCCAAUACUGCUAGGCUUGAGGACAGCAGGAGAAAGUGGAAUUCCCGGUGUAGUGGUGAAAUGCGUAGAUAUCGGGAGGAACACCAGUGGCGAAGGCGGCUUUCUAGGCUGUUUCUGACGCUGAGGCACUAAAGUGUGGGGAGCGAACA
rnacentral:rRNA from 1 species